AACACCACAAGGGGGAGACUGUUGGUUGCAGGUGGAAAGAGAGGCCCGGUCAAGAAAGAAAACAGAAGCUGAACACUUAAGACAAUAAAGCUCCAAACUGACAGCGGCAUCACGUGGAGUGGACAUAAAUCUUCCUUUCAGUGACCUGCUAAUUCAUUACUUAUUUAUGGAAAAAGCGGCAGCUGGUUUAUUUGUCGGCUGGGUGAGGUUACUCAUUCAUCUCCACUGGACAGACAGCAAGGCAGGUGUAAUAUUUACCUGUUAUUUUCUAUGUUACUUCCUGCCACCCCUUAAACUAACUAAGUAUUCAUUUAUCACUUAUGUGUUUUCUAUAACUCUUUUCUUGCUCUUUCUCAAAGCUGCACACUUCGGGGGUAUACAUGUUGUCCACAGCUACAUGAUCUACUGGGUAGAUUUCAGAGCAGGCAGUAAUAAUGCUUGGCUGCCAGCACCAUGAAAAUGUUAUCAGAUGGGAGGCAAACAAUGGCUGACAGGAAGCGAUCCAGUGUCCACACAGGUUGGAAGAAAAUAAAUCAGGUUAUGCUGACGUCAGGCGGCUCUGAGGGCUGUGCUGCUGCUUGUUUUUCUGCAAUGAAUAUUCUCGCUGAGUCAUGGCAUGACAGCACAUAUACAUCAUUUCCCGUAGCCAAGCUGCCAAUACUGAACUCUUUGUUUGAUCACCAUGGAGACAGUUAAAUGUGAAAUUAAGUUCUGUCACGCAGUCGAAGCUGGAGGCAGUGUUGGAAGGCAGCGCCGCAGCCAAGGAUAACUGCGUGUGUGUAAUAUUGCAGUAAUGACCUGGACGAGAUGUAAAUCUCUUCUCAAAGUCACAUCAUGGAGGUCCAAAAACCUCGGUCCCACAGGGUCCCACAUUUUAUUUGCUCAAGACUUGUUUUUUGGUUCGUGCAAGGGUUGACUAUUUAAUAGUUUCUGAGGAGACUAGAACUCAGGGAGGAAUAUGCUUCAGUACACAGGUAAUACUUCAAUUCAUGGUUGGUUUCAGUCUUUUUGUUACUAUUUGCUGACAAUAAGAAAAAUAUCAUCAGACGUUAAGGUUGGAUUGAAUCUCAGAGGAGCUGUUGAAAUCAGACUUUCAGCAAUGAGUCUAAAACCAGCCUUAGCAUGUCAAACUCUGCACAGACAUCAUUCUGCACAGCGAAACCCAUUAAAAUCAAAACUCAAAAAUGCAGUUGUAGGAGCGAGAAUAAAAACAUGUUUUUGACUGGAGGUGGAAAUGCUAUGUGCUCUUAAGAGACAGAAAACAAGUGUGCACAUGCGGUCUGCAGCCACUCAGAGAUUUCAAAAUUGCAAGUGGUGAUUCAGUUUGUACAUAUUCAUGUCUCGCUCCUCCAAGUUUGCUCUCUGUGUUAUCAUUCCCACCUCUGUUACAGUUUUAGCCACCUGACUGUAACAGUCACAUCUCAGUUCUGUUCCUCAGAAGUCCAGACCUGAUCCUCUGCAGCUGGAGAUCAGCGGUGUAAAAAUAAAAUGCAGAGAGGUGACAUCAUGCGACGAGGACAAGCGUAAAAUCAUGCACAUAUUCAAAACACAUGGGGGGUGGGGUGAGACAGAGACGGAGACGGUUAAAUGAAGAAACAGAGACUAAAACACUGUGUAUUUUUUUUUUCUAGAAUGUCUGCUUGUACCCACCAUCUGUGUGUGUGUGUUGGCAUGAGCUUAUCGCUGAAGAAUGUGGUGGAAAACUGAGAAACAGGAAGUCUCCAUCGGCCAGAACGAAAAGAAACAGCAAGAGCCUUUUACUCAAUGCAGAAGCCUGCGAUGUUCAAGUACGUUACGAGAAGAAGUCGGCUGCAGAAGAGGCGGAGGUCCAUCGGUGUCUACGCCAACAAAAGACCAGAAUUCGUUCACUACAAAGACCUGUGAGUAUGUGGCUGCCCUCAAAAACAGACCGCAGUGUUCACAAACAACUUGGCUGUGUGUCUAGACAGCUACACAACUGCUGCCGUAGGCUUACAGAAGGGCGUUAGGGAAAUAUUCAAGGAAAAGCAGGAAAUUACUUUGGAAAUUAAAAAUGCACAGAAUAUCACAGACUCUUAAAACUAUGUCAACUUCGCAAAAUUAAAUUCAUAGAAACACUUAAUACUAAAACCAAUUUUAGCCUAUUAUUUAUUUUUGGCUAAAUGAGAGUGGCCAAAUGAAUCAGAAUCACAAUCUUUACAGAAAUGUCUGACGGACACUGAACACAUCCACUCAGAGUCAUGUGUUUGGACACCUGAUGAUUAUCACUUCUGUUCUUUUAGCUCUGUUCUGCCUCUUUAACACUUUAUGUUUUUGUCACCCUGAUUGUCCAUACUUUAAUUGUACUAUGUUGGUCUAUUCUGCACACAGAAGAUCUCUCUUGCCCUCUCACGUUGCUCUUUCUGACGUUUCCUCAGUUUCUGCCCUGUUUUUCCAGAGGAGGGUUCCUUAUCUGAAUUGAGAGUGUUGUAUGCUGUAGAGAUUGUAAAGGCCCUUGAGACAAAUUUCUGAUUUGAGAUAUUAUGCUGCGUAAAAAAAUGUCCUUGACUUUAGCUGCCAGAUGUUCCAUUAUGCCUUUUGCCAGUCAUUUGAUCCAUUGUUCAUAUAAAAGUACUGAUAAGAGCAGCCAUAUGGGUCAAUGUAUCACUCAACUGCAGCAGCGUCACACAGGGAGCGUUCCCACCCCUGAUACCAGUCAUACUAUCUCAAAAAUAAAUACACAUCAGGUUUGGAAACUGAGUAGCAAGUUCAGAUAAACAUUUGUCUCCAUCAGCCUACAGAGAAAGAUAAUUGUUUUAUUUGGCUCCGGUGAGACACAUUCCAGACAUAAUGGAAUAAAGCCGAUACAACAGAUCUUAGCGAAGUUGAAGAAACGCAGCAUGUCCUGCUACAACAGGACAGCCAUGAUCGUUUUACCAGAAGCUGCUGGUUUGCUGCGGCUCGCUUUGUUCGGUUUCUCUCUACUCGCUCCUUCAGUUUCUGCACUCGUCUUCUGUUCUUCAGCAGCAGCAAUGUGGGACCGGUUUCUAUUUCCAUGAUUAUUUUUGCUGUGUGAGUUAGGGAACACUCCCCACGCUGGCACUCUCCACAGUACUGUUGGAGCACUACCGAAGGUCCAACACUAACAGGAGAAUUUAAUGAUAAAAUGUUAUGGGACAUGUAAAUCCUCAGUGCUGUCUUGAGGGGUUGUUUGCUUACAAACUGUUCUAGUCUCCCUUCAGAAAUCUCCAUCCAACAAAAAUCCCUGCAAAUCUCAGUUUCUGACUACUUUUCCAGAUUCUCACCCUCACGAUGACCCCACAAAAAUCCUCACAUGAACUGAACAAUUUCUGAAGAAAUGCCAAACACGGCAAUCUUAGUAUAGAAAUUAUGUAUAUUAUUUAUAUGAACCACAUGGCUGAAUGGACUCACAGAUGGGUCCAACACAGUCAAGUGUCUAUAAGAUGUUGGGCCAACAUGAGUCUCCAGUACAGUGUCAUUAAAACAUUGUAAAACAAAUCUCUGUAACUCUGCUGAACAGAUAAAACAUUCUCGUAAAAUAUAUUCACUUGUUUGGGGGUUUUAUGAUAGUAGUGUCAUAUCUACGAGUCCUAUCUCCAAAACCUCCUACAACAUUGAUCUGUUAGGUUGAAAUGUGGUUACUGUGAAGUCCUCUUUCAAAUUUUCACACAUCUGUUACAUUUUAAGAAAUCGCUUAACAGUUUGGGACAUAUGUAUAUAAUUACAUAUAAUUUGCUUUCUUGCCGAGAUUUAAAUUAAUAGAUAUCCACUCUUGUGCCUGUUCAAUAAACAUGAAGCUGCAGCCUGCAGACUGUUAGCUUAGCUUAACAUACAGACGUGAAACAGCCUGGUUCUUUUUCUGUCCAAAGGUAAGAAAAAAAAAACCUGCCCACAACCACCAAAGCUCAUAUGUCCUGGUUGUUAAAAACCAAAGAAAAAUGUCAAGUUGUGGUUUUACCAGUCGCCUGCUGGUUGCCUAGCAACCUCACAGCCACAACAAGAUUCCAGGAUGUCUCUGCUCCCCACAAAGAAACAGCUUGGUGCAUGAACUCGCUGUAAAACCAAACAUUUCCAUUUAUACACUUUGUUUUUUGGGCAGAUUUAACAAAUGAGGUAUAAUGUGUUAACAAUGUGCUCUUGAGUGGAUUUCUUCAGACUCAGGCUAGCUGUUCCCCCUGCUUCCAGUCUCUAUGCUAAGCUAACUGCCUCCUGGAUGUCGUUUCAGACUUCUCAGGCAGCUGCAAGACAAGUAUUAGUCCUUUCAACUAUUGCAAGUAACAAGCAUGCAACUUCUUCAAAACAAAAUAUAUGUGCUGUCCCUGUUCCUGUAGACGUCCUUGAGGACUUGGAUGUCCAAAGAAUGUAGCUAUCUAGCUUCCUUCCUUUCAUAUAAUACAAAGCAACACAAAAGCUUUUCUUCCUUAUCACUUUCACAACCACUGAUUGAUGCCAACAUAUCACAUCACAUCAUAUCACAGGCACUAAUGGCUGCCGGUCAAAGAUAUCUUACUGCAAAGUUCUUAGUCAGCACCUUCUUCAACUCCCUUUUGUCAGAGCACUUAAAUCCCACUAAAAUCUCCUUUACACUGAGUUUACCUUUGGGUAUCCAUGAAAAGAAAAACGAAUGAGUUGCUGUAUUUCAUUUAUAUUCUGUGCCAUUAAAAUCACAACAGGCAAAACACAACAGGGAGUUACCAUGACAUGAAGUCAGACAUUGCAUAAAGUUUUAUGAGCCUGUGAUGUAUUUUAUGGGAAUGAGCUCAUGAUAAUUUCUUUAACAUGCAGCAGGCACCGGCUUCGAAUCAGACUGCAAACUCUCUAUGGCCCUCUCCUCUGCGUGUGUGUGUCAGUGUGUGUGUGUGUGUGUCAGGCAGGGGAAGGUCAGUCCCACAUAUGGGUCUUGGUCUGCCUACUGUCUGCUCUGUCAGAAAAACUUAACAUACUUUUAUAAGACUAUUGAAAUCAGCAGCAAAAUCACAGCCCUGUGAUGACAUUUUACUCCAGGUGCAACGCUUCCAAAAAUAUUAUCUCACAGUGUCCAAGGUGUUUACUUCUGUAAUCUUACAUGAAAACACUGUGUGUGUGUGUGUGUGUGUGUGUCAGGAAGAAAGAGGUCAGUUGCACAUGUUGAUCCUGAAUUUACUGCAGAAUUACAAUAGAU